rnacentral:rRNA from 1 species
CCUACGGGAGGCUGCAGUGGGGGAUAUUGCACAAUGGGGGGAACCCUGAUGCAGCGACGCCGCGUGGGUGAAGGAGUGCUUCUGCAUGUAAAGUCCUAUCGGCAGGGAAGAAGCAAGACGGUACCUGACUAAGAAGCCCCGGCUCACUACGUGCCAGCAGCCGCGGUAAUACGUAGGGGGCGAGCGUUAUCCGGAUUCACUGGGUGUAAAGGGAGCGUAGACGGCAAUGCAAGCCAGGGGUGAAAGCCCGGGGCCCAACCCCGAGACUGCCCUUUGAACUGAAGGGCUGGAGUGCGGGAGAGGCAGGCGGAAUUCCUGGUGUAGCGGUGAAAUGCGUAGAUAUCCGGAGGAACACCAGAGGCGAAGGCGGCCUGCUGGACAGCGACUGACGUUGAGGCUCGAAAGCGUGGGGAGCGAACAGGAUUAGAUACCCUUGUAGUC